UAGCAUCAUACAUAACCUGCAAAAUGUCACACAUUAUCCAGGAAGUCAAAUUGCAAAUGAAAUGUGGAAACUGCUAAUUAUUUAAAUAAGCAUGGAAGUCAGUGCAAGAACUAAUGCACCAUAAAUCAUAAUGUAAUUUUGUAACAGCAUAAUUAUAGCAGAAAAGAAAUCUUUUUCUGCAAGAAUAAUUUGUUUGAGAGGACAGCACGUGAAAGUGGGAGCAGAGAAACAAAUUUGUUAUAUUUUAAAAUUUCCAGAAGACUGAACUUCAACACAAUCAAGCAUGUCAACGCAAAAGAAUGAACAAGACCUGGUUAAUAAAUACAUACAACACAUGCCAAAA
rnacentral:misc_RNA from 1 species